UGGUUCUUCCUAGCUCAACUCUCGUGGUUCCAUACGAGUUACCCCGAUAACUCCUUCGAUGCUCCGUCGUUGAAACCGACAUGUGGAGCACGCCAUGGGAAAAGUCCCCGGGUCUACGGCAAGAAAUUGUCAGGACGUGAUUCCGUCUCUGAAUUUUCAAUCAGAAGCGCCCUUUAACCGGUGCUUAGGUUGAGGUUCUAAAUAAAUCCAUCUUGGACCAGACAUAAUCAAAGAUAUGUUGAGGGAAACCAUCGUAUCGGAAGUUGGUGGCGGGAGGGUCCGCUCUUCCUCCACCUUCUCUCCCCUACUGUUCUUACACAAUGGGGCUUACUCAGAAAGAACC
rnacentral:RNase_MRP_RNA from 1 species